CACCUCUAGCAUUACAAGUAUUAGAGGCAUUGCCUGCCCAGUGACUAUAGUUAAACGGCCGCGGUAUCCUGACCGUGCAAAGGUAGCAUAAUCAUUUGUUCCUUAAUUAGGGACUAGUAUGAAUGGCUAGACGAGGGAUCAACUGUCUCUUAUUUUUAAUCAGUGAAAUUGACCUUUCAGUGAAGAGGCUGGAAUACAAUAAUAAGACGAGAAGACCCUAUGGAGCUUAAAUUUACAAGCUUAAUUAUUACUUAAAUACCCUAAUGGAACAAAACAAAAAAACAUAAGCUUAAAAUUUUGGUUGGGGUGACCUCGGAGAACAAAAAAUCCUCCGAAAGAUAUAUAACAUAGACCUACAAGUCAAAGUAACUCAAUUAUCUUAUUGACCCAAAAAUUGAUCAACGGACCAAGUUACCCUAGGGAUAACAGCGCAAUCCUAUUUAAGAGUCCAUAUCGACAAUAGGGUUUACGACCUCGAUGUUGGAUCAGGACAUCCCAAUGGUGCAGAAGCUAUUAAUGGUUCGUUUGUUCAACGAUUAAAGUCCUACGUGAUCUA
rnacentral:rRNA from 1 species